UGAGCAAUCUGCCCUUCUCAUCGGAAUAAGCGUUGGAAACGACGUCUAAUGCCGAAUACGACCUCCUUUCGCAUGAUCGGAGGUGGAAAGCUCCGGCGGAGAAGGAUGAGCUCGCGGCCUAUCAGCUAGUUGGNGU
rnacentral:rRNA from 1 species